UAUUCUUACCUCCGCUGGCUGGCCAGUAAAUUCACAAGUGUAGGUGGUAUGCUAUACGAGAGGCAAGUCUUUUAUUAACACCACAAAGAUCUCUGGCCCAAUGAGUGGAAUUCGAUAGUAAAUCUUGCUGCAAGU
ensembl:snoRNA SNORA62 Small nucleolar RNA SNORA62/SNORA6 family